GCCUGUUCGAGCGUCAUUAUAACCCCUCAAGCCUGGCUUGGUGUUGGAGCAUGCCCCUGGGCAGCUCUCAAAAUCAGUGGCGGUGCGUCUGGCUCUAAGCGUAGUAAAUCUCUCGCUACAGUGUCCAGGCGGUUGCCUGCCAGAACCCUUAAUUUUCUAUGGUUGACCUCGGAUCAGGUAGGGAUACCCGCUGAACUUAA
rnacentral:misc_RNA from 1 species